UUGGGAACUGAGCAGUUUUUUUUUUUCCUUCUACUAAACUCAAGGGGCUUCAAAUAAAAUCAAACAAACAAAUAGAAAGAUUUCGUCAAAUUUUGAAGGGAAAAAAACUGGCAAUCGAAAAAGAGAGGGAGGGAUGUGUGUAGCGGGAUCCUUUCAUGGUGGCAACUGGUGUGAAACAUCAAAGAUUGAUAGUGCUUUGCAAAACUCUAAUUUAGGAGAUUACAUAAGAAGUCAUCCUUUAAUUUAUUGUCACUUUUCUUUUUGUUUUCUCACAAUCUCUCGGUACUUUCUUCUUCUUUUUUUAUUUUUUUAUUUUUAAGGAUGGUAAUUUCAUGAAAUUAACUAUUGUCUAUGUGUUAAUAUAUUUAAAGGGUAAAGGAAAAUAUAUGAUUCAUAGUGAAUGGAUGAAGUUGUGACUUAUCAGCCCCUGUUAUUAAGGUUAGAGGACUAAUACACCAGCCCUUCAAUCUUCUUCUAAGAUUAUCAUAGAUAAUUUGGGUACAUAUUUUCUUCUAUAAUGUAAUUGAUUUUGCUUGAUUGGAAGGAGUCUUCAUAUUGUUGCAUGACAAAUAAAAAUCGAUGGAGUCUAUUCAUUCACAUGAGUGAGGGAAUAUUUAUGAGUCUAUUCUUUCAUUUUUCAUUGUUAUGUUCAAGACAAUAUAACAGAUUUAAUAUAAGAUUUGUUGUUUGUUGUUUGAUAAGUUGAAUAAUUUGAGAAAAUCUUGAAAUGUUAAUCACUCUAUAUGCAUCUUUGGUUUUAUGCUAUCAAUGAUGUAGACUUUAGACUUCAUCCCUGAAGAAGACAAAAUUCAUUGAGGCUUAUCUUUCUUUCAUUUAUGAUGAUAUGAAUUUUUUUUAAUUUCCUUCUUUGCUUGAACACUCAACGGAGUUGCGGAGCAUUGCAAUCACAUCAUACCGCGACUAGGAUAUGGGACCACCGCACCACCACCGCAAAAUUCACAUGCAACAUUGUUGGUGCUAGAAGGUCGGAGUUUUCCUUGGAGAUGGUGGCGAGUAAUGCAACAUGCCAGUGUACCUUGUAACAAGAAAAAAUUGGCUCUGCUCUCUAUUUAAUUUUACUAGUUUUGGUUGCAUAUUUAUCAUAUUGAUAUUGAUUAUUCUCUUAUUGUCUUCAUCUUGCUUGCAUAUAUUAAAGGUUUUUAAUUUCAUUAACAUAAGAAGUAUAGUUUUCUUAAAUUCUGAAAGGAAGCAUUAUAUAGCUGAAUUUCAGGAGAAGAUGCGGAUAACAAAAAAGAAACACAUGGUGAAGUAUAAAGGUCUAUAAGUGAUGAGAUGAAGAUGUG
rnacentral:lncRNA from 1 species